UGAAGUUCAGGUAACACUGAAUGGAGGACCGAACCGACUUACGUUGAAAAGUGAGCGGAUGAACUGAGGGUAGCGGAGAAAUUCCAAUCGAACCUGGAGAUAGCUGGUUCUCUCCGAAAUAGCUUUAGGGCUAGCCUCAAGUGAUGAUUAUUGGAGGUAGAGCACUGUUUGGACGAGGGGCCCCUCUCGGGUUACCGAAUUCAGACAAACUCCGAAUGCCAAUUAAUUUAACUUGGGAGUCAGAACAUGGGUGAUAAGGUCCGUGUUCGAAAGGGAAACAGCCCAGACCACCAGCUAAGGUCCCAAAAUAUAUGUUAAGUGGAAAAGGAUGUGGCGUUGCCCAGACAACUAGGAUGUUGGCUUAGAAGCAGCCAUCAUUUAAAGAGUGCGUAAUAGCUCACUAGUCGAGUGACACUGCGCCGAAAAUGUACCGGGGCUAAACAUAUUACCGAAGCUGUGGAUUGUCCUUUGGACAAUGGUAGGAGAGCGUUCUAAGGGCGUUGAAGCAUGAUCGUAAGGACAUGUGGAGCGCUUAGAAGUGAGAAUGCCGGUGUGAGUAGCGAAAGACGGGUGAGAAUCCCGUCCACCGAUUGACUAAGGUUUCCAGAGGAAGGCUCGUCCGCUCUGGGUUAGUCGGGUCCUAAGCUGAGGCCGACAGGCGUAGGCGAUGGAUAACAGGUUGAUAUUCCUGUACCACCUAUAAUCGUUUUA
rnacentral:rRNA from 1 species